GCAGAUCACGAGGUCAGAAGUUUGAGACCAGCUUGGCCAAUGUGAUGAAACCCCGUCUCUACUAAAAAUACUGUAAAAGUAGCUGGGCGUGAUGGUGGGAGCCUGCAAUCCCAGCUACUUGGGAGGCCGAGGCAGGAGAAUCACUUGAACCCAGGAGGCAGAGGUUGCAGUGAGCCGAGAUCGUGCCACUGCACUCCAGCCUGGGCAACAGAGUGAGACUCUGUCUCAAAUAAAAAUAAAAAUAAAAAUAAAUAAAAUAAAUAAAAAAAGAGAAGAACAAUGAAGGAAGAAAUUAAACAGGAUAUAAAAAAUCAGAAGACAGAUAAGAUGGAAAACCAUAACUUAUGUGCAGAAAGGUGGGUGCAAAUCGAUCAGUCCUGCAUAAGAAAACACCAUUUGAUUGGUUUGAACAUGCAUCUGGCCAGGCGUGGUGGAUCACCUGAGGUCGGGAGUUCGAGACCAGCCUGGCCAACAUGGUGAAACCCUGUCUGUGUGGUCCCAGCUACUCAGGAGGCUGAGGCAGGAGAAUUGCUUGAAC
rnacentral:lncRNA from 10 species